AGAAGGAGGCGCUGAAUUUCUACAUACCCGUGGACUGCCAUUAGGGAAGUGAACAGGACUUGCUUGAACACAUGCAGAAAACUCCUAGAAUUGACAACUGAGGAAGAGCUAUGGAACUGUAGCUGUACUACUAUCAAUUGUAUCCCUAUUAAAAUCACUAGGAGAAGCCUCUUGCCUAUAUAACUGAGAUUAACAUCAAUGGUAUCUGAGAAACCCACCAGCAAAAUGUCUCAUUCCCUUCUGGUCUACAUAAAAGAUGACAAGUUACAACUGCCAUCUCUGACUAUAAGCCUUCUGACAGAGGGUAUUUGCUGUGAAGCUGAAGUUUCAGGUUCUACUCCUGUUUGUGCCACAGUUCCUAUGGGACACUGGUAAGCCACUCAAACCAAACUUUUCAGAGGUGGCACUAAGUGGAUUUCUCAUUUUAAGGAUACCAAGCUGAAAUCUGAAGAAUAAGCCUUCACAACAGCAACUGAAAUGAGAGCCAAGCUCCCAACUUAGAGCUCUUCUUUCAAGCUGAAGUGAGACUGGCUCUCACACAGCAAGAGCCAAUUUGAUUCUUCAGAAUAAGAGCAGAAAUGCAAGCUUUA